rnacentral:lncRNA from 1 species
GAUGCACCACUUUUAAGUAGCUAUUAUACUACAUUACUACAUGGCAUGCAAUUGCAACAACAACCAACCCCGUGGUCCCCCUCCGCCACUUGAAAGGCAGAAUUACCCUCCUGCUCCACCUCCAACUCCCAUCAUCCAAGAGACUCGUCCCGCGGUAGCUAGAUGAUGCAUAAGCUAAUUGCAUGUUUCAAUUUUCUAAUUUUUUUCUUAAAAGAAUUG